rnacentral:rRNA from 1 species
AUUGAACGCUGGCGGCAUGCCUUACACAUGCAAGUCGAACGCGUCCUUCGGGGCGAGUGGCAGACGGGUGAGUAACGCGUGGGAACCUACCUCAUGGUACGGAAUAACCCAGGGAAACUUGGGCUAAUACCGCAUGAGACGGUUCCGCAAGGGAUCGGGAAAGAUUGAUCGCCAGGGGAUGGGCCCGCGUCGGAUUAGCUUGUUGGUGGGGUAACGGCCUACCAAGGCGACGAUCCGUAGCUGGUCUGAGAGGAUGAUCAGCCACACUGGGACUGAGACACGGCCCAGACUCCUACGGGAGGCUGCAGUCGAGGAUCUUCGGCAAUGGGCGCAAGCCUGACCGAGCGACGCCGCGUGGAGGAUGAAGGCCUUCGGGUUGUAAACUCCUGUCGAGGGGGAGGAAAGCCGUGCAACCGGCCUGACCGACCCCUGGAGGAAGCACGGGCUAAGUUCGUGCCAGCAGCCGCGGUAA